rnacentral:rRNA from 1 species
AUUGAACGCUGGCGGCAGGCCUAACACAUGCAAGUCGAACGAGUGGCGGACGGGUGAGUAAUGUCUGGGAAACUGCCUGAUGGCGGGGGUUAACUACUGGAAACGGUAGCUAAUACCGCAUACCAUUGGAUGUGCCCAGAGGGGAUGAGCUUGUGGGUGGGGUAUCGGCUCACAAAGGCGACGAUCCCUAGCUGGUCUGCGAGGAUGACGAGCCACACUGGAACUGAGACACGGUCCAGACUCCUACGUGAGGCAGCAGUGGGGAAUAUUGCGCAAUGGGCGCAAGCCUGAUGCAGCCAUGCCGCGUGUGUGAAGAAGGCCUUGGGGUUGUAAAGUACUUUCAGCGGGGAGGCGGUACCCGGAGAAGAAGCACCGGCUAACUCCGUGCCAGCAGCCGCGGUAAUUC